UGGGGAAUAUUGGACAAUGGGGGAAACCUGAUCCAGCCAUGCCGCGUGUGUGAAGAAGGCCCUCGGUUGUAAAGCACUUUCAGCGAGGAAGCAUCACUCGCAGAAGAAGCACCGGCUAACUCCGUGCCAGCAGCCGCGGUAAUACGGAGGGUGCGAGCGUUAAUCGGAAUUACUGGGCGUAAAGCGCGCGUAGGUGGCUUGAUAAGCCGGUUGUGAAAGCCCCGGGCUCAACCUGGGAACGGCAUCCGGAACUGUCAAGCUAGAGUGCAGGAGAGGAAGGUAGAAUUCCCGGUGUAGCGGUGAAAUGCGUAGAGAUCGGGAGGAAUACCAGUGGCGAAGGCGGCCUUCUGGACUGACACUGACACUGAGGUGCGAAAGCGUGGGUAGCAAACAGGAUUAGAUACCCCUGUAGU
rnacentral:rRNA from 1 species